GAUGAAGAACGUAGCGAAAUGCGAUAAGUAAUGUGAAUUGCAGAAUUCAGUGAAUCAUCGAAUCUUUGAACGCACAUUGCGCCCGCCAGUAUUCUGGCGGGCAUGCCUGUCCGAGCGUCAUUUCAACCCUCGAACCCCUCCGGGGGGUCGGCGUUGGGGAUCGGCCCUUUACGGGGCCGGCCCCGAAAUACAGUGGCGGUCUCGCCGCAGCCUCUCCUGCGCAGUAGUUUGCACACUCGCAUCGGGAGCGCGGCGCGUCCACAGCCGUUAAACACCCCAACUUUUUAUAGUUGACCUCGAAUCAGGUAGGACUACCCGCUGAACUUAAGCAUAUCAAUAAGCGGAGGA
rnacentral:misc_RNA from 1 species